rnacentral:rRNA from 1 species
UACGUAGGGCGCAAGCGUUGUCCGGAUUUAUUGGGCGUAAAGAGUAUCGUAGGCGGUUUGUAAAGUAUCGGGUUAAAGCCUGGAGCUCAACUCCAGAGAUGCUCGAUAAACUAACAGACUAGUGGGUGUUCGGGGUUGCUAGAAUUCUAAGUGGAGGAGUGAAAUCCGUUGAUAUUUAGAAGAAUACCAAAAGCGAAGGCAGGCAACUAGAACAUUCCAGACGCUGAUGAACGAAAGCUAGGGGAGCGAAAGGG